rnacentral:rRNA from 1 species
GCUUAAAAUCCAAAGGACUUGACGGUGUUCUCACCCCUCUAGAGGAGCCUGUUCUAUAAUCGAUGAUCCCCGCUAUACCUCACCACUUCUUGCUUCCAUUCAGCCUGUAUACCUCCGUCGUAACGCUUGCCAUGUAAAUGACCCAUAGCAGGCCUAAUGACCAACCCCGCCAACACGUCAGGUCAAGGUGCAGCUUACGAAGUGGAAAGCAAUGGGCUACAAUUUCUAACUUAGAACAUACGAAUCAACCAUCUGAAACUAUGGCCAUGAAGGUGGAUCUAGUAGUAAGGGGGGAAAAUUGAGCCCCCCUUAACAGCGGCACUGAGAUAUGUACAAACCGCCCGUCACCCUCUUUGACAGCAUACUAAAAGUAUAUAACACCCUAUUAGCACCCUAAAAGAGGCAAGUCGUAACACGGUAAGCGUACUGGAAAGUGCACUUAGCUUUUGCAAAAUGUAGCUUAGUAAAGCCCCCCGUUUACACCGGAGAGACAUCUGUGAGAUCCAGAUCAUUUUGAGCCGUAACUCUA